CCAAUAGCGUAUAUUAAAGUUGUUGCAGUUAAAAAGCUCGUAGUUGAAUUUCGGGAUCAGUAGGUCGGUCGUGCCACUGGUAUGAACUGGUCUCACUGGUUCCUCCCUCUUGACGAACUGCAAUGCUAUUAAUUUAGUGUUGUAGGAAAUCAGGACUGUUACUUUGAAAAAAUUAGAGUGUUUAAAGCAGGCUUUGGCUUGAAUACAUUAGCAUGGAAUAAUGAAAUAGGACGUUCGAUCCUAUUUUGUUGGCUUCUAGGAUUGACGUAAUGAUUAAUAGGGACAGUUGGGGGCAUUAGUAUUCAAUUGUCAGAGGUGAAAUUCUUGGAUUUAUUGAAGACUAACUACUGCGAAAGCAUUUGCCAAGGAUGUUUUCAUUAAUCAAGAACGAAAGUUAGGGGAUCGAAGACGAUCAGAUACCGUCGUAGUCUUAACCAUAAACUAUGCCGACUAGGGAUCGGAUGAUGUUAAUUUUUUAAUGACUCAUUCGGUGCCUUACG
rnacentral:misc_RNA from 1 species